UCCCUGGUGGCUCAGAUGGUAAAGAAUCUACCUGCAAUGUAGAAGACCCAGGUUCAAUCCCUGCGUCGGGGA
rfam:TPA: Bos taurus chromosome 9, whole genome shotgun sequence.